rnacentral:rRNA from 1 species
GAGUUUGAUCGUGGCUCAGGAUGAACGCUAGCGGGAGGCCUAACACAUGCAAGCCGAGCGGUAUUGUUUCUUCGGAAAUGAGAGAGCGGCGUACGGGUGCGGAACACGUGUGCAACCUGCCUUUAUCUGGGGGAUAGCCUUUCGAAAGGAAGAUUAAUACUCCAUAACAUAUUUAACGGCAUCGUUUGAUAUUGAAAGCUCCGGCGGAUAGAGAUGGGCACGCGCAAAAUUAGCUAGUUGGUGAGGUAACGGCUCACCAAGGCGAUGAUCUUUAGGGGGCCUGAGAGGGUGAUCCCCCACACUGGUACUGAGACACGGACCAGACUCCUACGGGAGGCAGCAGUGAGGAAUAUUGGUCAAUGGGUGCAAGCCUGAACCAGCCAUCCCGCGUGAAGGACGACUGCCCUAUGGGUUGUAAACUUCUUUUGUAUAGGGAUAAACCUACCCUCGUGAGGGUAGCUGAAGGUACUAUACGAAUAGCACAGGCUAACUCCGUGCCGAGCAGCCGCGGUAAC